UACGUAGGGUGCAAGCGUUAAUCGGAAUUACUGGGCGUAAAGCGUGCGCAGGCGGCUUUGCAAGACAGAUGUGAAAUCCCCGGGCUUAACCUGGGAACUGCAUUUGUGACUGGAAGGCUAGAGUACGGCAGAGGGGGGUGGAAUUCCACGUGUAGCAGUGAAAUGCGUAGAGAUGUGGAGGAACACCAGUGGCGAAGGCGACUACCUGGCCUGUUCUUGACGCUGAGGCGCGAAGGCUAGGGGAGCAAACAGG
rnacentral:rRNA from 1 species